UAUUUUUUGUAAGUAUGGAGAAAGAAUUGUUGUGAUACGGAUCUGAUGAAUUAGAAAUUAGGGAUUUGAUUGUGGGUUUUAUUCGAUUUGAUGAUGGAAUCUUAGUGAUGAUUUGAUCUGACGAGAUUAUUGUUUGAUUGAUGACAUUGACUCUGUGUGGUUGCAGGCAAAGGGAGUACGGGAGGAGCUUGCAACAGUAAGCUCGGCAGAGCUUACGUCAGGCUACAAAAGCUUCCAAUGUGAAGAAUCCAUUUGAAGAAGAUGGGUAGUUGGGAUUACAAACUGUAUUGAUUUUCGCUUCAACUUACAGACAAGGGUUGAUAAGGCUGAAUCAGCAAAUACUGGCCAGGAUUCUACAUUUCAGAUAGAUGCAUCUUGGCAAGCCAAUAAGAACUUCUUGUUCAAGCUGUUAGAGAUCGUAGGACUGCCACCACAAGUUUUGGGUUUGGGCUUCGUGCUGAGGAUCGUGUCUUUGGGCGUUUUCCUUAGAGAGCCUAUGAAGAUCUUAAUGAGAAAAGGCAGUUGUUUGUUAUUUUCCUUCAGCACUUCAAAAUGGAAGUGUGCAUGAAUCAGUUGCAUUUUAAAUUCUAUAAAUUAGUUUUUUUCUGGAUUGUUAAGUUCAUUCAGUACGGCAUGACUUCACUGCUAUGCUUAUGUUAAAAUGCAUUCUUACUUCACCGCUAUCCUUAUGUUAAAGUGCAUUCUUAUUGCAAUGAGUUUAGGUCUGGUCACUAAUACCUUAGUUGGUAGCUCGUACUUAAAAUUUGUGGUCCUGAUUAUGUCAUUACCUUAUCAGUACAUAGUUUUAACUUAUUUUUAUGUUUUGUGUUUGUGUUGAACAGGCUGAGUUCACCCAGUCGUAAGCAGUUCUCAAAUCUACAUGUAAGUCUUGUAUAUUUGAGCUGCAGUUUGUAAAUCUUUAAGGCCAGUGAGAAUAAAUCUUAGUGUGCUCCACUAUGAGAUAGCUUUGUAUACGAGUGUUGAAGAAAAUGUAGUCAUAAGAUCGAUAAACGCGUUUUUUUAAUUUAGUUUCCUUCCUUUUCUUUUGUAAAUGUACUUGAUGUUUAAACGUG